GAACACUUGUCUGAUUUUACACAUGAUAGCCAAGUUGAAAAUUUUCGUCACAUUUUUCUCAGGAACUACAAUACAAGGAUUUCUGAAAUUUGGUUUCAGGAUUUAUAUAAGUCAGAUAUACCGUGUGAUGCGUUUUCAGAUUCAUCACUCGACAACUUCCUGUUUACCGAAUACUUGUAUGAUUUUACACAUGAUAGCCAAGUUGAAAAUUUUCGUCACAUUUUUCUCAGGAACUACAAUACAAGGAUUUCUGAAAUUUGGUUUCAGGAUUUAUAUAAGUCAGCUAUACCGUGUGAUGCGUUUUCAGAUUCAUCACUCGACAACUUCCUGUUUACCGAACACUUCCAUAUUUUUACACUAUUAAUAUUAUCCACUUGCGGCGGGGGUAUCAUCAGUGAGCAGUAGCUCGCCGU
rnacentral:lncRNA from 1 species